GUAUGAAAAUUGAUGGCGUACGGUGAAGACCUGCUGCCAGACUUGUGCUAGUGAAAUUUAUUUCGAAAUGAAACAGACGGUAAGUUAAGUUAACUUUGAAUAAUUAUAUUUAUAAUUAAUGAUUUUUUUUUUGCAGAAUCCGAUCUAUGCAUCCUUUUUCCGGCGGCCACUGGAAUUCUGGCCAAUUUGAACCUUACCAACCGGUGCUUCCGUGGUGCAAAAUGCCACGGAUGUGGCCAACGGGUUGCGAUCACCCUCUCGUCGGUCCUGGCCAGUCGACGCCAAAGGUGUUCCAACUUUAGUAAAUCCUACGCAGUUUGGCGAAACCGUCGAUUGGCGACUAAAGUUAAGUACCCAUCUCGUGGCCAACAGGACUGAUGUAACGCAAGACCAUGAACUGGUUUCGCUGCUACCGGUGGUAAUUCUGCGUGUGGCCAAGAGACUCGACAGCACAUCGCUGAGGUGACGCGAUCACCGGCAGCCAACAGCAGCGCCGAAGGUCACGACCCGCGUUCUUUGUAUGGACAGGCCGAGAAAGAAGUCCUUUACGUGUUAUCAGUUUGUUACCGACGAAAAAGCAACAGAAAAAUUCAAUAAAAUUUUGAUUUUAAAU